CAGUAGCCGCGGUAAUACGGAGGGUGCAAGCGUUACUCGGAAUCACCGGGCGUAAAGGGCGCGUAGGCGGAUUAUCAAGUCUCUUGUGAAAUCUAACGGCUUAACCGUUAAACUGCUUGGGAAACUGAUAAUCUAGAGUAAGGGAGAGGCAGAUGGAAUUCUUGGUGUAGGGGUAAAAUCCGUAGAUAUCAAGGAGAAUACCUGUUGCGAAGGCGAUCUGCUGGAACUUAACUGACGCUAAUGCGUGAAAGCGUGGGGAGCGAACAGGAUUAGAUACCCCCGUAGUCCCUGUCUCUUAUAC
rnacentral:rRNA from 1 species